rnacentral:rRNA from 1 species
GUGAGGAAUUUUCCGCAAUGGGCGAAAGCCUGACGGAGCAAUGCCGCGUGAAGGAUGAAGGCCUAUGGGUUGUAAACUUCUUUUCUCAGAAAAGAAUUAUGACGGUAUCUGAGGAAUAAGCAUCGGCUAACUCUGUGCCAGCAGCCGCGGUAAGACAGAGGAUGCAAGCGUUAUCCGGAAUGAUUGGGCGUAAAGCGUCUGUAGGUUGUUUAAAAAGUAUUCUGUCAAAGAUUAGGGCUUAACCCUAGAUAGGCAGAAUAAACUUUUAAGCUAGGGUUUGGUAGAGGCAGAGGGAAUUCCCGGUGGAGCGGUGAAAUGCGUAGAUAUCGGGAGGAACACCAAAGGCGAAGGCACUCUGCUGGGCCAAUACUAACACUGAGAGACGAAAGCGAGGGGAGCAAAUGGGAUUAGAAACCCCAGUAGUCC